rnacentral:rRNA from 1 species
GACGAACGCUGGCGGCGUGCUUAACACAUGCAAGUCGAACGGAAAGGCCCUGCUUUUGUGGGGUGCUCGAGUGGCGAACGGGUGAGUAACACGUGAGUAACCUGCCCUUGACUUUGGGAUAACUUCAGGAAACUGGGGCUAAUACCGGAUAGGAGCUCCUGCUGCAUGGUGGGGGUUGGAAAGUUUCGGCGGUUGGGGAUGGACUCGCGGCUUAUCAGCUUGUUGGUGGGGUAGUGGCUUACCAAGGCUUUGACGGGUAGCCGGCCUGAGAGGGUGACCGGCCACAUUGGGACUGAGAUACGGACCAGAAUCCUACGGGAGGCAGCAGUGGGGAAUAUUGCACAAUGGGCGGAAGCCUGAUGCAGCAACGCCGCGUGCGGGAUGACGGCCUUCGGGUUGUAAACCGCUUUCGCCUGUGACGAAGCGUGAGUGACGGUAAUGGGUAAAGAAGCACCGGCUAACUACGUG